CCUACGGGUGGCAGCAGUGAGGAAUAUUGGUCAAUGGGCGAGAGCCUGAACCAGCCAAGUCGCGUGAGGGAUUACUGCCCUAUGGGUUGUAAACCUCUUUUGUCGGGGAGCACAAGCCUGACGUGUCCCGCUUUGAGAGUACCCGAAGAAAAAGCAUCGGCUAACUCCGUGCCAGCAGCGGCGCUAAUACGGAGGAUGCGAGCGUUAUCCGGAUUUAUUGGGGUUAAAGGGUGCGCAGGCGGAUUUUUAAGUCAGCGGUAAAAUCGUGGGGCUCAACCCCAUCCAGCCGUGGAAACUGGGGAUCUAGAGUGUGCGAGAGGUAUUCGGAAUGCGUGGUGUAGCGGUGAAAUGCAUAGAUAUCACGCAGAACCCCGAUUGCGAAGGCAGCAUACCGGUGCACAACUGACGCUCAGGCACGAAAGCGUGGGUAUCGAACAGGAUUAGAUACCCUGGUAGUC
rnacentral:rRNA from 1 species